rnacentral:rRNA from 1 species
GAUGAACGCUGGCGGCGUGCCUAAUACAUGCAAGUCGAGCGAACGGACGAGAAGCUUGCUUCUCUGAUGUUAGCGGCGGACGGGUGAGUAACACGUGGAUAACCUACCUAUAAGACUGGGAUAACUUCGGGAAACCGGAGCUAAUACCGGAUAAUAUUUUGAACCGCAUGGUUCAAAAGUGAAAGACGGUCUUGCUGUCACUUAUAGAUGGAUCCGCGCUGCAUUAGCUAGUUGGUAAGGUAACGGCUUACCAAGGCAACGAUGCAUAGCCGACCUGAGAGGGUGAUCGGCCACAUUGGAACUGAGACACGGUCCAGACUCCUACGGGAGGCAGCAGUAGGGAAUCUUCCGCAAUGGGCGAAAGCCUGACGGAGCAACGCCGCGUGAGUGAUGAGGGUCUUCGGUUCGUAAAACUCUGUUAUUAGGGAAGAACAUAUGUGUAAGUAACUGUGCACAUCUUGACGGUACCUAAUCAGAAAGCCACGGCUAACUACGUG